rnacentral:rRNA from 1 species
UAGGGAAUCUUGCGCAAUGGGCGAAAGCCUGACGCAGCGACGCCGCGUGAGCGAUGAAGGCCUUCGGGUUGUAAAGCUCUGUGGGGAGAGAAGAAUAAGGUUGAGCUAAUACCUCAGCCGAUGACGGUAUCUCCUUAGCAAGCACCGGCUAACUCUGUGCCAGCAGCCGCGGUAAGACAGAGGGUGCAAACGUUGUUCGGAAUUACUGGGCGUAAAGCGCGUGUAGGCGGCUAAGCAAGUCGGGCGUGAAAUCCCAUGGCUCAACCAUGGAAGUGCACCCGAAACUGCAUAGCUAGAGUCCUGGAGAGGAAGGUGGAAUGCUUGGUGUAGAGGUGAAAUUCGUAGAUAUCAAGCGGAACACCGGUGGCGAAGGCGGCCUUCUGGACAGUGACUGACGCUG